UACGGAAGCAGCAGUGGGGAAUAUUGCACAAUGGGCGAAAGCCUGAUGCAGCUAUGCCGCGUGUAUGAAGAAGGCCUUAGGGUUGUAAAGUACUUUCAUCGGGGAGGAAAAACAAAACUAAUAAUUUUAUUUCUUGACGUUACCCGAAAAAGAAGCACCGGCUAACUCCGUGCCAGCAGCCGCGGUAAUACGGAGGGUGCUAGCGUUAAUCAGAAUUACUGGGCGUAAAGAGCACGUAGGUGGUUUUUUUAAAGUCAGAUGUGAAAUCCCUGGGCUUAACCUAGGAACUGCAUUUUGAAACUGAAAUACUAGAGUAUCGUAGAGGGAGGUAGAAUUCUAGGUGUAGCGGUGAAAUGCGUAGAUAUCUGGAGGAAUACCUGUGGCGAAAGCGGCCUCCUAAACGAAUACUGACACUGAGGUGCGAAAGCGUGGGGAGCAAACAGGGAUUAGAUACC
rnacentral:rRNA from 1 species